rnacentral:rRNA from 1 species
GACGUAGGGGGCAAGCGUUGUCCGGAAUCAUUGGGCGUAAAGCGCUCGUAGGUGGAUCGGUAAGUCUGCAAAGAAAGACCCCGGGCUCAACUCGGGGAACGGUGUGGAUACUACCGAUCUUGAGGCAAUCAGAGGAUGAUGGAAUUCCCGGUGUAGCGGUGAAAUGCGCAGAUAUCAGGAGGAACACCGGUGGCGAAGGCGGGUCUCUGGGCCGAUACUGACGCUGAGGAGCGAAAGCGUGGGGAGCGAACAGG